CGUGGGGGAUGACGGCCUUCGGGUUGUAAACCUCUUUCGACAGGGACGAAGCUUUUUGUGACGGUACCUGUAUAAGAAGCACCGGCUAACUACGUGCCAGCAGCCGCGGUAAUACGUAGGGUGCGAGCGUUGUCCGGAAUUACUGGGCGUAAAGAGCUCGUAGGUGGUUUGUCGCGUCGUCUGUGAAAUUCCGGGGCUUAACUCCGGGCGUGCAGGCGAUACGGGCAAUACUUGAGUGCUGUAGGGGAGACUGGAAUUCCUGGUGUAGCGGUGAAAUGCGCAGAUAUCAGGAGGAACACCAAUGGCGAAGGCAGGUCUCUGGGCAGUAACUGACGCUGAGGAGCGAAAGCAUGGGUAGCGAACAGGAUUAGAUACCCUGGUAGUCCAUGCCGUAAACGGUGGGCGCUAGGUGUAGGGGACUUCCACGACUUCUGUGCCGUAGCUAACGCAUUAAGCGCCCCGCCUGGGGAGUACGGCCGCAAGGCUA
rnacentral:rRNA from 1 species